rnacentral:lncRNA from 1 species
UUUUCCUUCUAUUUUAAUCUUCUUUUCCCUAUAUUUUUUUAGUUUUAGUUUUUUCUGCUUUUUCUUUUUCUUUCUUCCCGUUUUUUUCAUUUUUUUUCCCUUCUUUUUUCGCUGUUUUCAUUUUUUCUUUUUUCUUUUUUAUCUACUUUUUCAUUUUUCAUUUUUUUUUCUUUUUCUUACUUUUUUAUCUACUUUUCUAUUUUUUAUUUUUUAUUUUUCAUAUUCUUUUUUCUUAUUGUCUUUUUAUUGUUUUUUAUUUUUAGAGAAAAUGGGUUAUGGAGAUAUUGGGAAAAAUAGGCAUGAACAGGUAAUGUUACCAUCAACGUCGGUUUAUAGGUUGCGCACGAGAUGUCUUUGGGUUACCAAAAUGAGGGUAUAUUUGGGUUUUUUGGGUUUCAGGAUGUAAUCUUUCCCUUAUUAAAUGAGUUAAAACCUAUCUAAAAGUAUUGGACCUAUAAGAGAGCUUAGCCCAAGAAUUCAUAAAAAUAAAUAGUUAAAUUAAAACGUAUAAAGUAUAAUUUUUCUUUUUUUCUUCCUUUUUC